UUUUUUUUUUUUUUUUUUUUUUGGUUUUUCGAGACAGGGUUUCUUUGUAUAGCCCUGGCUGUCCUGGAACUCACUUUGUAGACCAGGCUGGCCUUGAACUCAGAAAUCCGCCUGCCUCUGCCUCUUGAGUGCUGGGAUUAAAGGCGUGUGCCACCACGACCGGCUAAAAACUUUAACUUAAAAGACAAAGAAGGGGGAAAUUAUAUCCCCGUGCAUAUUAUUUUGUGCAUUCCCGUGCAUAUUAUUUAAAUCAUACUUUUAUUUUAGAAUUUUGAAAUUUGGAUGUCAAAAGAAUUUAAUAAAUGCUUUAGAGUAUCUUAAAAGGAUCUACUUAUUGGCAUAUGGUUUGAUCCUAAACAGCUACCUUAUUAGGGAAGGGAAAAACAUAGGUUCUCUCCACAGAACGCUGCAGAAGCAUGAUGGUUAAUUCGUGUGACAAGCUGGCAGGUGAGUUGGCUCAGUGCCUUGACUGAAGUGACAAGGAAGCUUAAUUGGUACAUGUUAUGGACCCAUCCUUGCUUGUCAUUUUUCCAGUUUGGACAAGUGAAGCUGUCUUGCUUCAAGCUUUUUAACUUUAUGGCAAAAUGAACAUCAGAGACUGUAUAUUCUGACUUAGUAAGAUUAGUCAUUUAAUAGAAUCAUAAUGAUUUUUCUCUUUUCUUCAAUGUGACCAGUUAUUCUAACUCAAUCUUGGACUGGUCUAAUAUUAAGUCCAAUAUUAGAGAUUCCUAUUGUACAUAGCUAAAAUUCUUAAUUACCUAGCAAAGUUAAUUCAGAGCACAGCCUCCACUCCCAGGAAGCUGCGGUCUUCCUGCAAUUCUCAAAGCCAGCCCCUCCAUCCCCCAAGGAUGCUGGAGACUGAGCUUGAGCCUUGAUAAUUUGCAACUGAAUAAAGUACCUGGACUUCCCCAAAAGAAGCUUUUGUACUGUUAUUUUUACUGUUUGGAUUUUGUUUUUCAAACAGGUCAAUCAACACCUUCUGCCUGACUGCAGCAGGCGUGCAUCCCUGCCCCCAAGAGCGUGCAGGUGGCAGCUACUAAUUUUCAUUCUAAAAGCAUUCCAGCACAUAUUGUGGCUUUUGGUCUGAUUCGGGAUUAAGGUUUGCUAUGAGGGCUAGAAAGGCGGAAAUUUCAGAUAUUAUAAGAAUGUUGUUUUUAUUCUAAUAAGACGGGCUUAGUCUCUUAGCUGGUCUCCAGUUUUCCACCCUUGCUGCUAAUGGGGGGGGUGGGGGGAGGGUUGGUUCCUCAGGCUGUAGAGACAAUAGGAAUGAGGAGGGUGACCUCCAGCUCCUAAUAUAGCCUAAGAGCCACAAAUUGUGGUGUUACAAGUGGCAUAAUUCUUGUAGAGGCCUUGCUGAAUUUGGAGUUGACAAUUCUCCUUUAGGAGCUGCACAGAACUCAGAACUGUGCAUGCUGGUUCGUGAUAAUAUGAAUCCAGUAUGGGCACCAGCGUGGGUACGAGGCUAAGAAUUACAGGGGAAGGUCCAACUUGACCAUUUCUAAGUUCCCUGAGACACACACCCGGUUUGGAUGGAGGUUGGUAUCUAGUUCCAGUUACAACC
rnacentral:lncRNA from 1 species